GACGAACGCUGGCGGCGUGCUUAACACAUGCAAGUCGAACGGAAAGGCCUGCUUUCCCUUGUGGAUUGCGGGUACUCGAGUGGAGAACGGGUGAGUAACACGUGAGUGAUCUGCCCCCAACUUGGGUAUAAGCCUGGGAAACUGGGUCUAAUUCCCGAUAGGACUGCAGGGUGGUGCCUGUGGUGGAAAACGAUUUUCUAGUGGUUGGGGAUGAGCUCGCGGCCUAUCAGCUUGUUGGUGGGGUAAUGGCCUACCAAGGCGGCGACGGGUAGCCGGCCUGAGAGGGUGGACGGCCACAUUGGGACUGAGAUACGGCCCAGACUCCUACGGGAGGCAGCAGUGGGGAAUAUUGCACAAUGGGCGGAAGCCUGAUGCAGCGACGCCGCGUGGGGGAUGACGGCCUUCGGGUUGUAAACUCCUUUCGACCGCGAGGAAGCCACCUGGUUGGAAGGGUGGUGACGGUAGUGGUAGAAGAAGCACCGGCUAACUACGUG
rnacentral:rRNA from 1 species